AAUCAACGCUGGCGGCGUGCCUAACACAUGCAAGUCGAACGAGAAAGUGGGGGCAACUCCAUGAGUACAGUGGCAGACGGGUGAGUAACACGUGAACAAUCUACCCUCGAGUGGGGAAUAACACCGCGAAAGCGGUGCUAAUACCGCAUAACAUCUCCGGAUCCCAUGAUCUGGAGAUCAAAAGCGCAAGUUGCUCGAGGAGGAGUUCGCGCCUGAUUAGCUAGUUGGUGAGGUAACGGCCCACCAAGGCAACGAUCAGUAGCCGGCCUGAGAGGGCGAACGGCCACACUGGAACUGAGACACGGUCCAGACUCCUACGGGAGGCAGCAGUGGGGAAUUUUGCGCAAUGGGCGAAAGCCUGACGCAGCAACGCCGCGUGGAGGAUGAAGGCCUUCGGGUCGUAAACUCCUGUCAGUGGGGACGAAUGCUUCGCAAGAAGUUUGACUGUACCCGCUGAGGAAGCCACGGCUAACUCCGUGCCAGC
rnacentral:rRNA from 1 species